UACGUAGGGGGCAAGCGUUGUCCGGAAUCAUUGGGCGUAAAGCGCGUGUAGGCGGUCCGGUAAGUCCGCUGUGAAAGUCGGGGGCUCAACCUCGAGACGCCGGUGGAAACCAUCAGGCUAGAGUCCGGAAGAGGAGAGUGGAAUUCCUGGUGUAGCGGUGAAAUGCGCAGAUAUCAGGAAGAACACCCGUGGCUAAGGCGGCUCUCUAGUACGGUACUGACGCUGAGACGCGAAAGCGUGGGGAGCGAACAGG
rnacentral:rRNA from 1 species